AGCGAACGCUGGCGGCAGGCUUAACACAUGCAAGUCGAACGCCCCGCAAGGGGAGUGGCAGACGGGUGAGUAACUCGUGGGAACGUACCCUUUGGUUCGGAACAACUUGGGGAAACUCAAGCUAAUACCGGAUAAGCCCUUAUGGGGAAAGGUUGACUGCCGAAGGAUCGGCACGCGUCUGAUUUGCUAGUUGGUGAGGUAAUGGCCCACCAAGGCGACGAUCAGUAGCUGGUCUGAGAGGAUGAUCAGCCACACUGGGACUGAGACACGGCCCAGACUCCUACGGGAGGCAGCAGUGGGGAAUAUUGGACAAUGGGGGCAACCCUGAUCCAGCCAUGCCGCGUGAGUGGUGAAGGCCUUAGGGUUGUAAAGCUCUUUUACCCGGGACGAUAAUGACUGUACCGGGAGAAUAAGCCCCGGCUAACUUCGUGCCAGCCGCCGCAGUAA
rnacentral:rRNA from 1 species